rnacentral:misc_RNA from 1 species
GCUUCAAGGUGCUAUUGUGAAUUACUUCAAGUGGGGAAUGUUGCUGUGCUAAUGAUCCUGCUGCCAAGCAUCCAGUGAAUCAUGAUCAAUUAUUUAUUGGCCUCUUUACACAUCUCAGUUGCAGGUUAUUUAUGUUCAUCUGCAUUUCUAGCUAUGCUAUGGGUAAAUUCCCUUUGCUGAUUCACAAAGUUGAAUUACAUUCUUCAUGUAAUAAGUGGAACUUCAGUUUAACUCAACUAAACUAAGCAUCAAUCUUAUUCUUGCUA